rnacentral:rRNA from 1 species
GAUCUUCGGAUCUAGCCCCGCGCGGUUNCGUAACGCGUGGGAAUCUGCCCUUGGGUUCGGAAUAACAGUUAGAAAUGACUGCUAAUACCGGAUGAUGACUUCGGUCCAAAGAUUUAUCGCCCAAGGAUGAGCCCGCGUAGGAUUAGGUAGUUGGUGGGGUAAAGGCUCACCAAGCCGACGAUCCUUAGCUGGUCUGAGAGGAUGAUCAGCCACACUGGGACUGAGACACGGCCCAGACUCCUACGGGAGGCAGCAGUGGGGAAUAUUGGACAAUGGGCGAAAGCCUGAUCCAGCAAUGCCGCGUGAGUGAUGAAGGCCUUAGGGUUGUAAAGCUCUUUUACCAGGAUGAUAAUGACAGUACCUGGAGAAUAAGCUCCGGCUAACUCCGUGCCAGCAGCCGCGGUAAUACGGAGGGAGCUAGCGUUGUUCGGAAUUACUGGGCGUAAAGCGCACGUAGGCGGUACAUCAAGUCAGGGGUGAAAGCCCGGAGCUCAACUCCGGAACUGCCCUUGAAACUAGUGUACUAGAAUCUUGGAGAGGCGGGUGGAAUUCCGAGUGUAGAGGUGAAAUUCGUAGAUUUCGGAAGAACACCAGUGGCGAAGCGGCCGCUGGACAAGUAUUGACGCUGAGGUGCGAAAGCGUGGGGAGCAACAGGAUUAGAUACCCUGGUAGUCCAACGCCGUAAACGAUGAUACUAGCUGUCCGGGCACAUGGUGCUUGGGUGGCGCAGCUAACGCAUUAAGUUAUCCCGCCUGGGGAGUACGGUCGCAGAUUAAACUCNAAGGAUUGACGGGGCCUGCAACAAGCCGUGGAGCAUGUGGUUAAUCGAGCAACGCGCAGAACUUACCAGGUUGACAUCUCAUCGGAUGCAGAAAUGGUUCUUCAGU